rnacentral:rRNA from 1 species
UACGAAGGGGGCGAGCGUUGUUCGGAUUUACUGGGCGUAAAGGGCGCGCAGGCGGUCAUUUUUGUCGAGUGUGAAAGCCCCGGGCUCAACCUGGGAAUUGCAUUCGAGACUGAAUAGCUAGGGUACGGUAGAGGGAAGCGGAAUUUCCGGUGUAGCGGUGAAAUGCGUAGAUAUCGGAAGGAACAUCAGUGGCGAAAGCGGCUUCCUGGACCAGUACCGACGUUCAGGCACGAAAGCGUGGGGAGCAAACAGG